rnacentral:rRNA from 1 species
GGGAUUGCCUCAGUAACGGCGAGUGAAGCGGCAAUAGCUCAAAUUUGAAAUCUGGCUCUUUCAGAGUCCGAGUUGUAAUUUGUAGAGGAUGCUUCGGCUUACGUUUCGGUCUAAGUUCCUUGGAACAGGACGUCACAGAGGGUGAGAAUCCCGUUUGUGGCCGAGACUUCCGCCAUGUGAAGCUCCUUCGACGAGUCGAGUUGUUUGGGAAUGCAGCUCUAAAUGGGAGGUAUAUUUCUUCUAAAGCUAAAUACCGGCCAGAGACCGAUAGCGCACAAGUAGAGUGAUCGAAAGAUGAAAAGCACUUUGGAAAGAGAGUUAAAAAGUACGUGAAAUUGUUGAAAGGGAAGCGCUUGCGACCAGACUUGCCCGCGGAUGCUCAACCGGUCCUUCGGCCGGUGCACUCUUCCGCGGUCAGGCCAGCAUCAGUUCGAGCGGUCGGAUAAAGGCCUUGGGAAUGUGGCUCUCUUCGGGGAGUGUUAUAGCCCUUGGUGUAAUACGGCCCGCCUGGACUGAGGCCCGCGCUUCGGCUAGGAUGCUGGCGUAAUGGUCGUAAGCGGCCCGUCUUGAAACACGGACCAAGGAGUCUAACAUCUAUGCGAGUGUUUGGGUGUCAAACCCGUGCGCGAAAUGAAAGUGAACGGAGGUGGGAACCUUAGGGUGCACCAUCGACCGAUCCUGAUGUCUUCGGAUGGAUUUGAGUAAGAGCAUAGCUGUUGGGACCCGAAAGAUGGUGAACUAUGCCUGAAUAGGGUGAAGCCAGAGGAAACUCUGGUGGAGGCUCGCAGCGGUUCUGACGUGCAAAUCGAUCGUCAAAUUUGGGUAUAGGGGCGAAAGACUAAUCGAACCAUCUAGUA